rnacentral:rRNA from 1 species
GACGAACGCUGGCGGCGUGCUUAACACAUGCAAGUCGAGCGGAACGGCCUCUUCGGGGUUACUCGAGCGGCGAACUGGUGAGGAACACGCGACUAAUCUGCCCUUCACUCUGGGAUCGCCCUCGGAAACAGGGAUUAAUACAGGAUACGACACGCGCCCGCAUGGUCUGUGUGUGGCAACUGUUAGGAUGGGGGAUGUGAUCGGGGCCUGUCAGCUUGUUGGUGGGGUAAGGGCCUACCAAGGCGUCGACGGGUAGCCGGCCUGAGAGGGUGACCGGCCACACUGGUGCUGUGACACGGCCCAGACUCCUACGGGAGGCAGCAGUGGGGAAUAUUGGACAAUGGGCGGAAGCCUGAUCCAGCAACGCCGCGUGAGGGAUGGCGGCCUUCGGGUUGUAAACCUCUUUCAGCACCGACGAAGCGAUCCUUUGGGGAGUGACGGUAGGUGCAGAAGAAGGACCGGCCAACUACGUGCCAGCCGCCGCGGUAAAAC